AUUGAACGCUGGCGGCAGGCCUAACACAUGCAAGUCGAGCGGAUGAAGGGAGCUUGCUCCUGGAUUCAGCGGCGGACGGGUGAGUAAUGCCUAGGAAUCUGCCUGGUAGUGGGGGAUAACGUCCGUAAACGGGCGCUAAUACCGCAUACGUCCUGAGGGAGAAAGUGGGGGAUCUUCGGACCUCACGCUAUCAAAUGAGCCUAGGUCGGAUUAGCUAGUUGGUGGGGUAAAGGCCUACCAAGGCGACGAUCCGUAACUGGUCUGAGAGGAUGAUCAGUCACACUGGAACUGAGACACGGUCCAGACUCCUACGGGAGGCAGCAGUGGGGAAUCUUGGACAAUGGGCGAAAGCCUGAUCCAGCCAUGCCGCGUGUGUGAAGAAGGUCUUCGGAUUGUAAAGCACUUUAAGUUGGGAGGAAGGGAAGUAAGUUAAUACCUUGCUGUUUUGACGUUACCAACAGAAUAAGCACCGGCUAACUUCGUG
rnacentral:rRNA from 1 species